GGGAGGUGAAAGUGGUCUACCUAUCUCAAAAGUGGUGCUCAUAUCUGCCUGGUCCUCCAAUUCUUCAUCAGUCUCCUCAGGUGCAAGAGUGGGGACAUAGGAGGGUGGGAAAGUAGAUGGUGCAGUAGUAAGCUCAUGACUCUACUCCUCAUCUCCUAUGUGGAUGGCACUGACAUCAUCUGGAAGUUGAACAAUCUGAAAUGGUGAUCCCUCUGAAACAUAAGACUGUUCCUCAGUGAGCUGAGUGACCAUCUGCCCCAUCUGAUCAAUCAAACUCUGAAUGGAAGCUCUGGUCUCCUGCUGAAACUCCAUGUUCUCCCGCCGGAACUGAAUGUUCAGAAUAGUCAUC
rnacentral:lncRNA from 1 species